rnacentral:ncRNA from 2 species
AUGAUUACAAGGGGAGAGAUCACGAACGAAGUGACGCCGAAGGAGCAAGUUAUGACACGAAUCUCUCAGGCAAAAAGACUCUUGUAGGACG